CAGUAUACUGUAGGUAGGGGUAAAGGAUAGAUAAUAGACAGUAACAGUAGUAUACUGUAGGUAGGGGUAAAGGAUAGAUAAUAGACAGUAACAGUAGUAUACUGUAGGUAGGGGUAAAGGAUAGAUAAUAGACAGUAACAGCAGUAUACUGUAGGUAGGGGUAAAGGAUAGAUAAUAGACAGUAACAGCAGUAUACUGUAGGUAGGGGUAAAGGAUAGAUAAUAGACAGUAACAGCAGUAUACUGUAGGUUGGGGUAAAGGAUAGAUAAUAGACAGUAACAGCAGUAUACUGUAGGUUGGGGUAAAGGAUAGAUAAUAGACAGUAACAGCAGUAUACUGUAGGUAGGGGUAAAGGAUAGAUAAUAGACAGUAACAGCAGUAUACUGUAGGUUGGGGUAAAGGAUAGAUAAUAGACAGUAACAGCAGUAUACUGUAGGUUGGGGUAAAGGAUAGAUAAUAGACAGUAACAGCAGUAUACUGUAGGUAGGGGUAAAGGACAGAUAAUAGACAGUAACAGCAU